UACGUAGGGUGCAAGCGUUGUCCGGAAUUAUUGGGCGUAAAGAGCUCGUAGGCGGUCUGUCGCGUCUGCUGUGAAAACUCAGGGCUUAACCCUGAGCUUGCAGUGGGUACGGGCAGACUAGAGUGCGGUAGGGAGACUGGAAUUCCUGGUGUAGCGGUGAAAUGCGCAGAUAUCAGGAGGAACACCGGUGGCGAAGGCGGGUCUCUGGGCCGUAACUGA
rnacentral:rRNA from 1 species